AUGGCCGAAUGCUUCAAUAGGGUGCUCAAAGGUGCACGUGGAUUACCCGUGACGGCAAUAGUUCAAUACACAUUUGACAAGAUGAAUGCGUACUUUGUAAAGUACUCGAUGGAAACCGAUGCACAGAUAGCGGGUGAGAACCCACGGGAGUACAAGUACAAGUUCCCACCCAAAGUUGAUGAAUGGUUGCUAUUUCAAUCACGGAAGGCGGACUCAGAAGAAGCUAUAUUAUAUGACAAUGAAGAGUGGAAGUACGAAGUGAAAGAGCCAGGAGGAACCACAAAUGAUGGCCGGCAACAUGGAGGUCGGGCUUUCAAGGUGUCGUUAACACAAUGUGAUUGCACUUGCGGGAGGCCAUUGUUGCUUCAUCUCCCAUGCUCACAUUUGUAUGCCGCCGGCCGCGUUAGGAAUGUGGACAUCAAUCACCCACGCACCGUGAGGGAGUCGGAGUUCUCAAUCAUGACGGUCAAGAAAACAUGGGCUCCCCGCUUUCACCCAUACUUUGACCAAUCACAAUGGCCGGAGUAUCAUGGAGUUCAACUAUGGCCGGAUCCGGAGUUGAAGGUUGUUAAACGGGGUAGACGUAAGACAAAGCGUCUUAGAGGCGACAUGGACGGAUGGGGCCAUGAUGGGCGCCGCGAAGCGGGCAAUGACCAAUUCCAAGAGCCUCGUGAGAGCUCCCGUUGUGGGGAGUGCAAAGGUCAUGGCCACAACAAAAGAAAAUGUACCAAACCAAGGAAAAGGUCCAAGAAAAAUGAUGCAAGCACAAGCCAACAUGGAGCUACACAAGGGAGCCAACCAAGUCAUAGCCAACCUAGUGGUAGCCAACCUAGUGGUAGCCAACAAGUGCCAAGCCAACCAAGUGGUAGCCAACCUAGUGGUAGCCAACAAGUGCUAAGGCAACCAAGUGGUAGCCAACAAGUGCCUAGCCAACGAUAG
rnacentral:rRNA from 1 species